GACGAACGCUGGCGGCGUGCUUAACACAUGCAAGUCGAGCGGUAAGGCCCUUUCGGGGGUACACGAGCGGCGAACGGGUGAGUAACACGUGAGCAAUCUGCCCCCGUCUCUGGGAUAACCACUGGAAACGGUGGCUAAUACCGGAUAUGACCUCCUUCUGCAUGGUUGGUGGUGGAAAAGUCCGCUGGACAGGGAUGAGCUCGCGGCCUAUCAGCUUGUUGGUGGGGUAAUGGCCUACCAAGGCGACGACGGGUAGCCGGCCUGAGAGGGUGACCGGCCACACUGGGACUGAGACACGGCCCAGACUCCUACGGGAGGCAGCAGUGGGGAAUAUUGGACAAUGGGCGAAAGCCUGAUCCAGCAACGCCGCGUGAGGGAUGACGGCCUUCGGGUUGUAAACCUCUUUCAGCAGGGACGAAGCGAAAGUGACGGUACCUGCAGAAGAAGGACCGGCCAACUACGUG
rnacentral:rRNA from 1 species